AUGAGGAGAUUUGAGGGGAGAUGGCUGAAGGAGGAAACAGUUGAGGAGGUGGUCCGAACGGCCUGGAUGAAGGCGUCGCUGCUAGGCCUCGGACCAUUCAAGCAAAAGAUUGAUUCAGUCCAUGUGGAACUGCAUAAAUGGGACAAAGAUACACUUAAACGGCCACAGAAGAGGAUGGCAAAGCUGAAAAAGGAGCUUGAAAAUCUAAGAAGAGGUCCAACAACGGAUGCAGCGAUUGAUAGACAAAAAGAAAUACUGUUACUCAUUGAAAACUUGAUGGAACAAGAAGAGAUUGAAUGGGUGCAGAGAGGUAGAGCUAACUGGCUGAAGCAAGGAGACCGCAACACAAUUUUUUUUCAUCACUAUGCUUCUGCGAGGAAGAAGAGAAAUACGAUCAAGGGUUUAUUGGAUGAGAAUGGGGUAAUGCAGGAAGGGCAACAGGAGAUGGACGACAUCAUUAAGAGUUAUUUUACAACUUUGUUUUCAUCUCAGGUUCUUGCCCCUAACGAAGCAGUCAUUGAGAAGGUAAUCCCCAGGGUGUCAGCACAAAUGAAUGAGGCCUUGCUGGCUCCAUUCACAGAGGAGGAUGUACGCCGAGCGGUGUUCAGCAUAGGUGAUUUUAAAGCUCCAGGACCGGAUGAGUUGCACGCUGCAUUCUACAAGAGAUUCUGGAGUUUGUUAAAGGAUGAUCUAGUGAAGGAGGUGUUAGAUGCUAUAAACUCAAGAGUAAUCCCCGAGGGGUGCAACAGUACAACCAUAGUGUUGAUACCGAAAGUGGAAAACCCCACGAGCAUCACGACGUUCAGGCCGAUUAGUUUAUGUAACAUGGUGUACAAAAUCAUAUCCAAGAUGCUCGCGAGUCGACUUAAGGUGAUUCUCCCGGAAGUUAUAAGCCCAACGCAAAGUGCCUUCGUCCCCGGGAGAUUGAUCACAGAUAACAUAUUAAUAGCAUAUGAGUGUGUUAACACAAUUAAGAGGAAGAAAGGGAAGUUUGGCCUUUGUGCAGUGAAGCUCGACUUGCACAAGGCAUAUGAUCGAGUUGAGUGGUGCUUUCUCAGGCAAGUGAUGCAGAGACUUGGUUUUGCGGAGCAGUGGAUCGGGUUGGUUACGGAAUGCGUGUCUUCGGUGUCAUAUAAUGUGAGAUGUAACUCCUGCUGUACGGAGGGUUUCUCUCCUACUCGGGGACUUCGACAAGGCGACCCGUUGUCACCUUACUUGUUCUUGAUAUGUGCGGAGGCGCUAUCCAGUAUGCUCCAGGUGGAGGAGAAUGAUGGCUCGCUUAUAGGGGUCAAGCGUGCCUCCGAAGGGUACUCGAUGACUAUUGUGCGAGCUCAGGUCAACUGGUUAGUGAUGCAAAGUUAA
rnacentral:rRNA from 1 species